GAUGAACGCUGGCGGCGUGCCUAACACAUGCAAGUCGAGCGAACAGACGAGGAGCUUGCUCCUCUGACGUUUGCGGCGGACGGGUGAGUAACACGUGGAUAACCUACCUAUAAGACUGGGAUAACUUCGGGAAACCGGAGCUAAUACCGGAUAAUAUCUUGAACCGCAUGGGUCAAUAGUGAAAGACGGUUUUGCUGUCACUUAUAGAUGGAUCCGCGCCGCAUUAGCUGGUUGGUAAGGUAACGGCUUACCAAGGCAACGAUGCGUAGCCGACCUGAGCGGGGGAUCGGCCACACGGGACCUGAGAAACGGCCCAGCUCCCUACGGAAGGCAGCGGUAGGGAUUCUGCAGCAAUGGGCGAAAGCCUGACGGAGCAACGCGGCGGGGGUGAUGAAGCUCUUCGGAUGGUAAAACGCUGUGAUUAGGGAAAAACAAAUGUGUAAGUAACGAUGCGCGUCUGACGGUAACGGAAGAAGAAGGCCAGGCCAAACUCCGU
rnacentral:rRNA from 1 species